GUGAAAAGUAGCUCCAGAUGUUUCUCCUGCUGCUGUAGGGAUGGCUGCCUUGAGGUCCUUGGUGGGCAUCCUUGCUCCACUUCAGCUGGGGUUCCUCUUGCUGGUGCGAGUCCUGGCGGAGGGUUCAUUUGAAAGAAUAGUUGGUCGACCUCCCAGUCAAAGCCCAGAGGCUGUGUCAAUCAUAGCAGGCAGUGACCUUUUGCUCAAGUGCACCCUAACUCAGACGGAUCUGCCAGCAACCGCUGAAUGGUACAAAGACUUGGGAAACGAUCAGAAGUUAAUUUAUAGGCAAAGCGACAAAUUUUCCCGCGGAGUGAGGGUCCUACUAGGAUCACCCAUCGACUUCAGCGUCAGCCUCAGCAACAUGCGCCCUGAAGAUAGUGGGACUUACCGCUGCUCAAUGAUUAAGGAAGGUCCACAUGGUGGAGAACGCACUCCCAAGAAACUCACCGUGGUCUCUGUCGUUG